rnacentral:rRNA from 1 species
CAGCCGCCGCGGGAAUACGGAGGGUGCAAGCGUUAAUCGGAAUUACUGGGCGUAAAGCGUGCGUAGGCGGUUCGUUAAGUCUGUUGUGAAAGCCCCGGGCUCAACCUGGGAAUGGCAAUGGAUACUGGCGAGCUAGAGUGUGUCAGAGGAUGGUGGAAUUCCCGGUGUAGCGGUGAAAUGCGUAGAGAUCGGGAGGAACAUCAGUGGCGAAGGCGGCCAUCUGGGACAACACUGACGCUGAGGCACGAAAGCGUGGGGAGCAAACAGGAUUAGAUACCCCGGUAGUCCCUGUCUCUUAUAC